AUUGAACGCUGGCGGCAGGCCUAACACAUGCAAGUCGAGCGGAUGAAGGAAGCUUGCUUCCCGAUUCAGCGGCGGACGGGUGAGUAAUGCAUAGGAAUCUGCCUAUUAGUGGGGGAUAACUCGGGGAAACUCGGGCUAAUACCGCAUACGUCCUACGGGAGAAAGUGGGGGAUCUUCGGACCUCACGCUAAUAGAUGAGCCUAGGUCGGAUUAGCUAGUUGGUGAGGUAACGGCUCACCAAGGCGACGAUCCGUGGCUGGUCUGAGAGGAUGAUCAGCCACACUGGAACUGAGACACGGUCCAGACUCCUACGGGAGGCAGCAGUGGGGAAUAUUGGACAAUGGGCGAAAGCCUGAUCCAGCCAUGCCGCGUGUGUGAAGAAGGUCUUCGGAUUGUAAAGCACUUUAAGUUGGGAGGAAGGUCUGUAAGCUAAUAUCUUGCAGUCUUGACGUUACCAACAGAAUAAGCACCGGCUAACUCUGUGCCAGCCGCCGCGGUAAGAC
rnacentral:rRNA from 1 species